CCCGCCCCGCCUCCCCCGCCUGGCCUCAGCUGCAGCUUCACCGACUCCCGCGCUGAGGAGCACCCUGGGAACCUGCGGGAGCGGAGCGUGGAUUACGAUGCACAUGAGAAGGCUUGGAAAGAAGAAUGGAUGUCCCCAAAUAUACAACACAUCCAGCAAGGAGGGCUGUGUGACUGGAAGGAUAUGAGCGAAGGGGAGAGGCGUAAGGAACGGAAUUAAAACAAUCAGAAGCUGGGAUCAAACAAUUAGGAUCUG
rnacentral:lncRNA from 1 species